CGCCAUAGCUCAGCUGGAUAGAGCAGGAGACUUCUAAGCUCAAGGUCGUAGGUUCGAACCCCACUGGCG
rnacentral:tRNA from 1 species